GACGUAGGGUGCAAGCGUUGUCCGGAUUUAUUGGGCGUAAAGAGUUCGUAGGCGGUUACUUAAGUCUGGUGUUAAAGACUGGAGCUCAACUCCAGCAUGGCAUUGGAUACUGGGUGGCUAGAGUGUGGUAGAGGUCUCGGGAAUUCCAGGUGUAGCGGUGAAAUGCGUAGAUAUCUGGAGGAACACCGGCGGCGAAAGCGCGAGACUGGGCCAUAACUGACGCUGAGGAACGAAAGCCAGGGGAGCGAAA
rnacentral:rRNA from 1 species